CACGUAGGGUGCGAGCGUUGUCCGGAAUUAUUGGGCGUAAAGAGCUCGUGAGCGGUGUGUCGCGUCGGCCGUGAAAACCUGCAGCUUAACUGUGGGCUUGCGGUCGAUACGGGCAUCACUGGAGUUCGGCAGGGGAGACUGGAAUUCCUGGUGUAGCGGUGAAAUGCGCAGAUAUCAGGAGGAACACCGGUGGCGAAGGCGGGUCUCUGGGCCGAUACUGACGCUGAGGAGCGAAAGCGUGGGGAGCGAACAGG
rnacentral:rRNA from 1 species